CCCAGCAAAAGAACGGCACACAGCAGUUGCUGCCCAAGCCUGGGUGCUCCUGGUGGUCCUGCACGAUCGGCUGUGCAGUAGGCUUGUCAAGGAGAGGAUCCUCCCUGGCCUCUCCUUGGGCAGAGGAGGUGGUCCAUAAAGCUGCCCUGGAGCCAAAAUAUUGCAGUCACAUCUCGGCAGCGACCUGCCCUCAGGUGGCAUUUUCAAGUCAUGGAGAAGGCGGAGCAGAGAUGAGGUUUUACCACAUUGGCCAGGCUGAUCUCAAACUCCCGACCUCAAGCGAUUCUCCUGCCUCAGCCUCCCAAAGUGCUGGGAUUAUAGGCAUGAGCCACUGCACCUGGUAUAAGGAGCCUGUUAUAGCACUGUCUCUUCCCCUGUGAUUGGGGGCUCCAUGCCUCUAGCUGGGAUGAUGAUGUCCAGACCUGAGAGGAGCCCAGGGCUACCCACCUUUAAAAGUCAGAGGCAGGAAGCAAGAAACAGUCACAGGACUGCCCUGGGGGGUGCUGUGGUCACCAGCCCCCAGGCUGGAAGCUGCCUCUGGCCUGGCACCUCCCCUCCCAAGAGGCUGCUGCCCGCCUCCCAGCCCUUCUUGGAUGGGGUGGAGGUUUCCGUCUCCUUCACCUCACCAAGCUUCUCCUGUAGCUCCUUUACUUGCUGCUCCAACUGCAGUGCGCUCUUGUUCUCAUUGUCCU